rnacentral:rRNA from 1 species
UACGAAGGAUCCAAGCGUUGUCCGGAUUUACUGGGUUUAAAGGGUGCGUAGGCGGACCUUUAAGUCAGUGGUGAAAGCCUGUAGCUUAACUAUAGAAUUGCCAUUGAAACUGAAAGUCCCGAGUGUGGUUGAGGUAACUGGAAUAUAUCAUGUAGCGGUGAAAUGCUUAGAUAUGAUAUAGAACACCAAUUGCGAAGGCAGGUUACUGAGCCAUUACUGACGCUGAGGCACGAAAGCGUGGGGAGCAAACAGG